GUUUGACCUCAAAUCAGGUAGGAUUACCCGCUGAACUUAAGCAUAUCAAUAAG
rnacentral:rRNA from 1 species